rnacentral:tRNA from 8 species
GCGUUUGUGGUUUAGUGGUAAAAUCCAUCGUUGCCAUCGAUGGGCCCCGGGUUCGAUUCCCGGCGAACGCA